UUCACCUACCAAUCAUAUGAGAGGAAUGCAAGUACUCUGGCCUGGUGCUGGGUUUCUGGGGUAUGACUAUUAAGAAAAAUAAAUACAUUAAAAGGUCAACAUGGUAUUUGUUUUUGACGCGCUGGGUUAAACCAAUCAACUUCCACCUACCAAUGAAACGAGUUCUAGCCAAUCAGAUGCAAAGUAGGGCAGGUCCUUGCCAAAAAGCGAGAGUGCGGUUCACUGAGCAGUUUG